AUACGGGGGAUUCAAGCGUUAUCCGGACUUAUUGGGUUUAAAGGGUGCGCAGGCGGGAGAUUAAGUCGGCGGUGAAAUUUUGCAGCUCCACUGUAAAAGUGCCUUCGAAAAUGGGUUCCUUUAGUGUAGAUGAAGUAGGGGGAAUUUGUGGGGUAGCGGUGAAAUGCAUAGAUAUCACGAGGAACUCCGAUUGCGCAGGCAGCUUACUAAACUACUACUGACGCUCAGGCACGAAGGCGUGGGGAUCAAACAGGAUUAGAUACCCUGGUAGUCCACGCAGUAAACGAUGAUUACUAGCUGUUUGCGAUACAAUGUAAGCGGCUGAGCGAAAGCGUUAAGUAAUCCACCUGGGGAGUACGUUCGCAAGAAUGAAACUCAAAUGAAUUGACGGGG
rnacentral:rRNA from 1 species